rnacentral:rRNA from 1 species
UGGGGAAUAUUGCACAAUGGGCGCAAGCCUGAUGCAGCCAUGCCGCGUGUAUGAAGAAGGCCUUCGGGUUGUAAAGUACUUUCAGCGGGGAGGAAGGCGUUAAGGUUAAUAACCUUGGCGAUUGACGUUACCCGCAGAAGAAGCACCGGCUAACCCGUGCAGCAGCCGCGUAGUACGAGGGUGCAAGCGUUAAUCGGAAUUACUGGGCGUAAAGCGCACGCAGGCGGUCUGUCAAGUCGGAUGUGAAAUCCCCGGGCUCAACCUGGGAACUGCAUUCGAAACUGGCAGGCUGGAGUCUUGUAGAGGGG